AUACGCCGUACACUAAUAUACUGGACAGCACAUCGCCUGGUGUAUUUGUUUGUAUAUCGUGCUAAGUUUUAUGUAACAUCGCAUUUUAACCUCUGCAUCUGGGACAACAAACAAACAUGAUGAUGUUCGUGGUAACAUCUGCUUUUGCAGCUUUUCUUCUUGCAAUCCCAUGUGUCGAUGCACAGUCUCAUGUCCGGCUUGUAAAUGGAACUGACCAUGGAAUGGCCUCCUUGAA